rnacentral:rRNA from 1 species
AACGAACGCUGGCGGCAUGCCUAACACAUGCAAGUCGAACGGGAUCCGAGCUUCGGUUCGGUGAGAGUGGCGGACGGGUGAGUAACGCGUGGGAACCUGCCCAGUGGUGGGGGAUAACUGCGGGAAACUGCAGCUAAUACCGCAUGAGCCCGAGAGGGGAAAGAUUUAUCGCCAUUGGAGGGGCCCGCGUUCGAUUAGGUAGUUGGUGAGGUAACGGCUCACCAAGCCUUCGAUCGAUAGCUGGUCUGAGAGGAUGAUCAGCCACACUGGGACUGAGAUACGGCCCAGACUCCUACGGGAGGCAGCAGUGGGGAAUAUUGGACAAUGGGGGGCAACCCUGAUCCAGCAAUGCCGCGUGAGUGAUGAAGGCCUUCGGGUUGUAAAGCUCUUUUGCCGGGGACGAUGAUGACGGUACCCGGAGAAUAAGCCCCGGGCUAACUUCGUGCCAGCAGCCGCGGUAAU